CACUGAUGUCUACUAAAUCUAUAGGAGUAUAGAAGAGUGGUAGUUCUGGAGUAGUAGAAACUACAGCACCAUAUAAGGACUGUAUGUAUCUGUGCAUGUACCAAGAGGCUUGUUUUCCAUCAUUUACUGAUUCCACUGUAGUGUUAGCAUGACCACUGAUAUCACCACCUGCAAAAACCCAGGGUUCACUCGUUUGCAUAGUUUCUGGAUCUACUUCAG
rnacentral:lncRNA from 1 species